AAAAUCGUAUCAGACACAGUCUGGAAACAUGUGUUGAUAAAAAUGACGAGCUCCACGUUAAUGGCUGUUCUUAUAAUUGGAUUGCUUCAAGUAUGCACAGCCAAUCCGCUUUCUUCACAAGAAGAAAAAGAUCCUGAUUUUUCAGAGGCAGAAAAGAGAUCCAGCGAAACUAUUUACGGCAGAUCGUUUAGCUCGCGCAAAAAAUGCUGGAGUAUCUCAGUUGGUUGGAUGGAAGUCUUUCGGUGUGGCGCUUGAUCAAGUGAUGAAAUUGGAUGCAUUUUCCAGUGACCCAACAUUAGGGGUCUUCAAAAAUGCGGCUAAAUAUUGCGAAAUUUUCAAUCACACACAGAAUGACAUCUUAUUCUAAUUAUACCAAAACUCAGGAAGCGAACCUU